rnacentral:lncRNA from 1 species
UUCACAUUAGGGUCACACAAUCAAUUACCUCUUGAAUGUAUCGUCUCUAUUUCCAAUAUCUGAACACAUAAGGAAACUAUAAUCUCCUCCUUCACCUUAUCGGUCUCCUCCUUACAGCAAUUCAGUCAUACUAAUAAUUGCUAUUUCCACCAAUAUAUUCACCCUCAUAAUCUCCAACUGUAAUACUACGCCCUCAUAGCUUUCAGCACACAAUUAUCCUCGUUCCAAUCAUUGGAAUUCUUCACACAGAACUGCCAUUCACAUUACAAUGUUUCACACAAACACAAACUCAUUCUCUCUGUUGAACUACAAUCAGAUUUCAGCAUUCAAUCUUUCUUCUUCUCAAAUAAUACCAAUCACAUUUCCAUUCCAUAAUUCACUUCACAAUAUUUAGAAACUUUCAAUCCUCUUAUUCAAAGAAAAUAACAAACAAAAGAAAAGAGGUAGCACUAAGCUUACUCCGGCUCAUAACUCUCAUAGUCUGGCCUUUUCUUCCCCUCUCCCAUCCUCCUCAUACUACCCCGAGAUACCAACUCCUAUACUAUAGAUGAUAACUACUUUUCCUGACUAUUCAUCCAUUCUACCUACUUAACCACCUUUUCAGCAGUUAUCUAUCCCUGUUUAUACUAUACACUAGGUAUCUACAUUCUGAAAAUAAGUACUUAUUCUACAUAGCCCCACUCUUAACUAUGCAGCGUCCUCGCAAACACUCAAUUGAUACCUAUCUAAAAAUUAUCUAACAAAACUCCACAAAAAUUGCAAUCCCUUUGGCCUAACUAAUUAAUCAAUUGCUGCAGUAUCUAUUAUUCGUUCUACCGAUUCUGGUUCCAAUUGUAAAUCUUUGUCCUCCUCCAAUCCUUCCAUCGGCUCCUACCUCAACUGAGCUAAAAGGUCUUCAUUAUACUCACCCAGUUCAUGGACUUGAGCUUCCAAUUUCAGGAUCUGGGCAUCUCUCAAUUCCAACUGGCACUAAAAGUGACUCUUCUCUUCUAGAACUUCGGAAACUGGCAACGUCGAUACUUGUGUUUGAUCAAUAUUGACUAAAUCCUCUGCCAAUCUUGUCACCUCGCCAUUUAAGGCCUCAAUUUCAGCCCUUAACCGCUCUGUUUCACAUCUGUAUUGGUCACUUAAUACUAAAUUCUCUUACGCCAAUAACUCGGUCUUUUCUCGUUCCAUUACCAACUGACCCUUUGAUUUUUCUAGUUCCAAAAUUGAAUGACUAUAAGCCCGAAAUAGUUCUUGCCUGUGGAUCUCCACCAUGCGUUCUCUUUCUUUGUUCCAAGCUUCCUGUUGUUCCCCAAUUUAUUGUUCUAAUAGCAGCUUGGAUUCUGCAUUCGCCUGGAUGAUCCGUUCUUGCUCUUCAAUUCUUCGGGUCUGCUCCGAUAUCACCUUUUUGCUUGCCUCUAAUUCCUGUUUACCACUACCCUCUACAUCCAAUGUUUGUACUAUGCAAUGUAUUUGUGAAAUAUACUUCAAUAGAGCAUUUUUAAGAUAUACGCCUUCCGGUAGUCGGCCCUGUGGAAAUGCUAACUGAUUGAUAUUUAACAACAUUGGGACUUCAUUCUCAUCUUCCACCACCGAAUGAAUCGGAUCCGUUUUCGGUGCCACUAGACGACUUGAUUCCCCAAUUUCAUAUAUUACCUCCAUUGUAUUGACAUUCUGUGCCAACGAAUUUUGUUCUCGCUACAGAGGCACUAGCAUUGGUUCAGAACUUCCCUCUAUUGGUGAUGUUUGCCGCAAUGUAUACACGAUCAUAGCAUUUACAUAAUUGGAACAUAGCAACGCUGUAAACUUCCCUAUUUUGCACUUGGCUCCCAUUUUUGCAUGAAUACGGGUUGCUACAUAAGCUACCCAAUUGAACACCAUUCCUUCAAAUGUCCCUAUCGCUGCAAAUAUUAACUGUCUUGACAUAUAUGUGUUGUGUCGAUACAACCCUAGACGCCUCAACACGAAGCGCAACCAUUCGAUGAGCUCUGGUGUAAUUGCCUCAGCCGUCCACCAACCUUGGUUCUUCUCAAAUGAUGACAUGCCACUUUUGAAAUAACUUCCCGGUCGGAAGUCACUGGACUCCUCAACACCCACCGCAAUCUCUCCUACCGAAAGAAACAACACUUUUUCGAGGAUCUUCUCAUCAAUACCGAUAAUGCGCCCUUCUACUACGCUCGAUCCAUCUUGUGGAUCAUAGUUUGUGAUGUAUUCUUCCACUAAUGCCACAUUAAUUGAAGGCAAACUAUCUGACCUUCGUAAAAAUUGAAACAUUUUCAUGUUUUGAAAAUCUCAUAUUCUCCUUGGCAUCCAGUAAAUCUCCAGCUUCACAGGCUCCAUAUUGGUAACGAUUACUAUGGAUGGUGGUCCUAAAUUGCAUUUAGCUUUCACAUUUCGGCCACUUUUCUCUCUAUCCGUAGCUCUCUUUGCACUCUCCAUCGCCAUGACGCACACUCUUUCAAGCUCUAACCGUCAAUACUAUGCUUCAGUACUCCAAAACACCCAAAAUUAUAACACCGAAAAGAAACAAUAACAGAAUGCGAUACCUAAGAAUGACCGUAAAUAGGUGCCCCACUCCUAUUCUUUUACCUAGUGGUGAUAACGAUAACAUGUUAUCCCUACUAUCCAUUUCUCACCCCCGUCCCAUUUGACAUAUUAGUAAUUACUAACUAUCCUUUCAGCCGCCUCUACACCCUAACACACUUAAUUAAGUCUAUCCUAAGUACAUUCAACGUGACCUCUUUUAGAAAUUGAAAACCUGUCCCGGGUUUUACGUAUGAUAUAACCGUAAUUGGUUCCCGUUAAUACAGGUAUUGAAUCGCUGACCCAUAAAAUCCUCCAAUUGAACAGACCCAUUGGAAAACCCUUCAAUCACACGAUAUAGCCCAUGCCAGCGAACUUGAAAUUUGCUCAAAAAAUGAUUAAACUUGCUAUCAAACAACAAUACCAAAUCAUUGGGUAUAAAACUCUUCGGACGCAGUUUACUAUCAUAGUAACUCUUUCACCGUUUUUGAGUUGCUUCCAUUUUGAAGAGAGAUGUAGCCCAUAUUUCAUCUAAUUUAUCCAACUCUGCCAACCGAUAUUGAAGUGAUUCCUUAUCUCUAAGACGUUCAUCCAACGCAAUGUGUAAACUCUGAACUUCCAAUUCAAUGGGUAAUAUUGCUUCUUGCCAGUACACCAAUUGGGAUGGUGUAGAAUUGGUAGUUAUUUUAUAUGUAGUACGAUACGUCCACAAUGCCGCAAAUAAUUUAGUAUCCCAAUUCGUUCCCGUAUCUGAAAUUGUUUUGGUUAAAAUCUUACAUAGAAUAUCAUUGGUCUUUUUCAUCUGUCCAUUGGCCCGAGGAUGAUAUGGUGUUGUUUUCCUGUGCUUGAUUUUGUAUGUGUUCAUCAAGGCUCCUAUGGUAGCAUUUAUGAAAUGGGUGCCGUGAUCGCUAACCAAUUCCUUCAGACACCCAAAUCGAGUAAUAAUAUUCUCGUAUAGAAAUGUGGCCACCGUACUGGCAUUAUCAUUGCGGAUAGCAAUAGCCUCUGUCCAUUUGGUUACAUAGUCCGUAGUGACUAUAAUAUAUCACUUUUGUCCAUGUCUCAAUGCUAGUGCAAUGGGUCCAACAAAAUCAAUUCUCAUUUCUCAAAUGGUGCAUGUGCCAAGAUUGGUACUAACGGCAUUGCUGAAGUACCCAUGGGUCGACCAAUUCGUUGAUAAGGAUCACAACGAUGAACAAAUUGGUGCACAUCAGAAAACAUUGUAGGCCACCAAUAUCCGGCCAUUAAAGCCUUGCGAGCAGUACUGUCUCCCGCAAAAUAUCCACCACAACUAUUCAAAUGACAUCCUUCCAAAAUUGUACAAACUUCACUUUGAAAGAUGCAAUGGCGUAAAAUUCCAUCCUGCCCUUGUUUAUACAAGGCAUCUCCAAUCAUGGUAUACGGCGCACUUUUUAAAAUCAGACGCUUCUUUAGUUUUUCAUUAUAAGAAAUGAAAAAAAUCUGAAACAUUAGAUAUUGGAUCAAUUCACCAUAUUCGGGUGUAAUGACAUCUACAGCGAAUAGUUGUGCAUCCAAAAGAGCAUCGUUUAUCGGUUCAUUACCCAGUAUAUUAGAUAAAUGGGAUAAGUGAUCCGCAUUAGCAUGUUUCUUUCCUGGUCGUACAUUGAUAGUAAAAUUAAAUUCUUGAAGUAAUAACACCCAUCGAGCAAUGCGUCUACUCAAUUGAAGCUUAUUAAUCAUGUAUUUAAGGACAUCAUGAUCCACAUAAAAGACAAAGGGAUACCCAAGCAAAUAGUGCCGAAAUUUCUGAACCGAGUAUAUCAUACCCAAUGCUUCUCCUUCAAUAGUAGUGUAAUUACGUUCGGCAGCCAUCAAUUACCAACUAGUAUAAUAGAUAGGAUGAUCCAGAUCCUGGUCAUCCUUCUGACUUAGCACCGAUCCAAUAGCCACAUUGGAUGCAUCAACAUACACAUGAAAGGGCUCGGUCCAAUGAGGGGCCACCAAUAUUGGAGUAGAGACCAAUUUUGACUUCAAUGCUUCAAAGACCACAGUACACUGCAUGGUCCAAAUCGGACUAGUUCCAUCUAAUGGAGGUUUUUUCAGUAAGUUCGUUAAAGAUUGAUAAGUAACUGCAAACGACCGAAUAAAUCGUCGAUAAUAACUGACAUGGCCGACGAACCCUCGAACACCGGAGACCAUCUCUGGUCUGGGCAAGUUCAUUAUAUGUAUCACUUUGUCCGGAUCCGUAGUGAUACCACGGCUAGAGAUGAUAUGUCCCAAUAAUUUUUUUGACGGAACAUUGAAUUGACAUUUAUCCGAGUUCAACAAUAUCCCAAACUUAGCACAAUGAGCCAAGCAUUUGCCGAGAUAAUUAAGAUGAUCUUAUUUUAUACUGAAUACAUAGAAGUCAUCUAAAAAGAUCUCCAUAAAUAGUCGGAGAUAGUCUUGGAAGGCUUGAGUCAUCACUCUCUGAAACAUGGCUGGAGCAUUACAUAAUCCAAAAGGCAUCAUGCGAUAAGUAAAUGUGCCCCAAUCCGUAGUAAAGGUCGUCUUGAGUUGGUCUUCCAUUGCAACUUGAACUUGAUUAUAUCCAAAAAAUCCAUCUAGGAACGAAUAACAUUUAUGACCUGCUAUAGUGUCUAAUAUACUAUCCGUGAAGGGCAAUGGGAAGUAAUCUUUCUUGGUGGCCGCAUUAAGUUUCCAAAAAUCUUAACAAAUUCGGAUUUUGCCAUUCUUUUUUGGCACCAUCACGAUUGGAGAAACCUACUCACUAUUUGGUAUUGGGUAAAUAAAACCAACCGCAAGAAGCUUGUUCAAUUUCUCCUUCACCAUGAGGGAAUAUUUAGGAUUAAGGCGAUGUUGUCUCUGCUAUACCGGUUUAGCAUUCUCCUCUAAAAUGAUACGAUGCUCACAGACUUGAGCGGGAAUACCUUUUAAAUCAUCAUAAGUCCAAGCAAAAGCGGAUUUAUGAUGCAAGAAAAAUUCGGUCCAGCAGGUCAACUCUUGUUCCUUAAUACCUUCAUAGACCUUAAUUCUCCGAGGUUCUGCUGUGGUCGCCAAGUUGAUAGUUUGACAUAAAGGUGCAACGACGAUGUUCUGUUUCAACCCCCAUGCUAGUUUAAAGUCAGUUGAUAAGUUUGACAUAUACAAAGUACUGAAUCUUGUGUCCAGGGCACUAAUAUGGUGCACAUCAUACUUGAUCAUCCAAUCAAUACUAACAUAAUCUUAGUUUUCCGAGUCCGUCGGGUAUAUCAAGUACUCCUCCUGAUCUCCACAUUGGUACACCACUCCAGGGUGAAGUGCUGCCUCCAUGAGCGCCUCCGUAAUUGGUGCUACUGCAUCAUCAUUGGAGCUAAGCUCAUCAUCCGACGUUAAUUCAGAUGCUAGCAAUUGAGACUCUCCAUGAUAUUGUACCGGGUAAAUCUGUAGAACAAUCUGGUCCUGGCCUUUUCCAAUUGUCAAUGUGCCUCGGCCCCAAUCGUUCUUAGCUUUGGCUUGAUAAAGCCAAGGUCUGUCCAAUAAAAUGGGAUACGAUAACGUAGAACUCUAUGAUCAGAAUACAAUAUAAUCAAUUUUGUAUGUCAAUCCCACGAUUACAGUGGCAAUAUUGCGUAAGAUUUCCAUUGGCUUUACCCAAUUAUGAUUUGCCAUUCGCAAGACCAAUGUCGUAGGUAGCAAUUGCUUUAAAUCCAAGUCCUCCAUUCUAUCCACAUUCAUUAAAUUCACACUGGAGCCACCAUCGACUUGUAUCCUUGGAAUUAAAAUGCCAUCGAUUGAUACAUCGAUUGUUGGUGAUCCUGGAUCUGGGUUUAAGCUAACUUCAUGAAUUUCUUUAGUGUGGGAUCUUCGUCGUAUUAACGCUGAAUUCAAGGUAGAUCGACAUUUCGGUGCUACAGCCAAAAGUUGCUUCAUUGUAAUUGAAGGCUGAAUAACAUCCAAAUCUCUCAGAAUGUCGUAGGAUUCUAUAUUGAGAGUAAUUUCCAAUGUUCUUUUACGUUUCAUUGGUUUUGAUUUUACUCUACUCGGCAGCAAUUCCUUCCUAGCGAUUGAGAUUGUCGUUGAUAACUUCGCUAACUUGUCUACCACUAAAGGUUCCUUUAAUGCGUAAGAUCUUUUGUUGGGCUGUAUAGGUAUUGGUACUUGGUCAGUUGGGAUUGAUCUUGAUGGUCCCGGCAAAUUGGCACGUGGGACCGAAUUGGGUUCUUCAAUCUGUUGAGGUCUCAAUAUUGGGAUACGUCCCAAUACUAAUAUUGGUUCGUUUAGCCCCGUAGACGGCGCUACUUGUUCUCCUGCGAUUGAUUCAUCCAUGUCUUGAAUUGGAUUCUUGUCUUUUUGUUGGCCUCUGGUAAGCACUACGUUCACCACCUCGACACGAUGUACUGGUGAGUCUUGUUGAACAGGGCCUUUGUCCUCCAUCGGUUGGCUUGUUUGCAUUUGCUGGUCCCGAUUAUUAUAAUUAAAGGGCGCAUUGCACUGCUGAUAAGUGUGACCAGACUGCUUACAAUUUCCACAUAUUGGAGCAUAGUCAUCAUUGGCCCUUGGAUUAGGACAUUCAUUAGCAUAAUGACCAAUUUAUCUACAACGAUAGCAACGAAGUGGUCUCCUACCAACUCCUUUAGGGAUAUUGGGUGUCUCUACGAGUAUAUAACGGCUAAGUCUGUUCCAUGUCGGAUGAGUAAAGGAUCUUGGUUGACCCAUUGUUACUGUAGAGUCUGGCAUUGGCUUUGUCAUGGGUGGAUAUUGAUGGUAUCUUGGUUAGUUCAUCGCCAAUCCAUGAGUAUUAGAUACACCUUUUUAAUAAAAUUCAGAGUUGAAGAAAUUAGAAUAAUUUCUGUUUUGUUUAUUCGCUCGAUUUCAAUUCCAGCCAAACCUAUUAUUCGUCUGUACUUGAUUGACAUCCCACAAAGUUGGUUCAGUCAUUAUCUGGUUACUGAGUUGUUGUUGCUUCCAUAAAUUCCAACAGUUGGUGGUAAUAUGCUUGCCCCCGCAAAAGGUACAUUAUACAGUCACUUGGGGUGGUGAAGGACAUUCUGUUACUAAAUGACCUGGCCCCUUACAAUUGUUGCACCAGACAUUGGGAUGCAUAUUGGUUGGUUUAUGCCUUUUUUCUUUAUCCUUGGCUAGAUUCACAACCAAUUCAUCCAUUUUUUUCAUCAAUGUUAACAGCAAUGACUCAUUAGGAUCCCUUGAUACCAAUGCAUUUGGCAAUUCUUUUGUAGGUAUUGAUUUUUGAUAUGCGGAAUAAAGCGCAUAUGGGUGUGAUGAUGAUGGUGGUAUAGCUUGCAAUGGAACAUCAUCCACUAUUCCCUGUGGAAUUGUACUAUAAUCAUUCCUUCCCAGAUAACUUCCCGAUGCGUCAUUCCAAUUUGUCAUUUGAUAAGCUCCCUGAGAUGGAAUCAUCAUGGCUCCAAUUGUUAAGUUUUGGUCAUAGUGACAUUCCUUCCAUACUUUUGCUCGCUCAAGAGAUGAUGUAAUGGUGGCUGAUUGGGCCUCUUUUACAAACAUUUUUAAUUCUGGUGGGUGUAGUCCAUUAACCAAUAUGGACAACACAAAUGAUUCCGACAUUUGGUUAUUUGGCCAUUUUCGAAGUAUAUCCGCUACACGACCAUGAUAUGACUAUACCGCUUCCCCUGGUACCAUUCUGCUAUUCAUUAAUUUUUCUCUAAGACGUUCUUCAAAACCAAUUGGUCGAAAAUGGGCUAAAAAUAUAUUUUUCAAUGCCUCCCAAUUGAUAAAUUGUCCCACAGGUUGGCGAUUAUACCACUCAAACGCUGUGUCUUUGAAUGUCACUGACAGCCAUCUCAGCCAAAUGUCUUCUGUUCUUCCAUUAUUGGCUACACACGCCGUCAAGAAUUGAGACAAAUGUUGAUCUGGAUCUGCACCUCGCAAACCCCGAAAAGUAGGUAAUGGCGCGAUGCUAGUCGUUCGAUCGCCUACUGCACCCAUUUGAACUGCAAUCAAAACUGCUUGUCCUCCGGACGUCAUUAUAGAUGCCGGUGUUCCGCUCAAUUUCUUAUUAAAAUAAAAACCGUCUCCCACAAAAGUCUUUUUCAGACUUCUAGGCCUUUCCAAUUGACUAUUAUUCUUCCCAAAUAAUUUUACUGGUUGAAUAUGAGGUGAAAAUGACAGGUUUUGAUAUACUCUGAAUUGAUCUUUAUUGACAAGUAAUUUAUGCCGAUCUUCAGAACUAGUCUUGUUAGAAUCAGACGUACUUCCAAUUGAGAAGAUAUCCAUUGGGGUACCUAAUUCCUCUGUGCCUUCCUCGUUUUCCAUUAACAGCUUCAAGAGGUUUGCUGGACUAUUAGCAGCGCUCCCCGCGAGUGCUCUUGGCAAUUUCUUUAACGGUAUGUACUUCUGAAAUAUUAGAGAUCGAUCGUCUUCUGGAUACGAUCGAAUAUGCUGACAAGUAUGCAACCACGGCUUAAUCCAACUUUGUCGAUGCUUCUUUUUUAAUUUACGAUCUCGCUCAUUACGCAACAAAUUUCUUGCUUGCGAUCUCUCUGUUCUUUCCUUUGAUUGCUUUAUUCUCUUUGCUGUUAAAUUCUCAUUCUUAAUAACCAUACUCUUACUUCAAACACUACUGAAAUCGUCUUCCAUUGCCAAUUUUCUCACACGUUUGGUAAUUAAUUCUUAACACUGAAAGCUAUUAUCACUCCCCGGCAGUGGCGCCAAAAUGUGAUUGCUCGUUUUACUUAUUCCGGAAGAAACCUCCCAGCAUAAAUCCGUAUAGGGGGAUUCAAACAUGGGGAAUGACUAGUUGCUUAAGCGUUCACAUUAGGGUCACACAAUCAAUUACCUCUUGAAUGUAUCAUCUCUAUUUCCAAUAUCUGAACACAUAAAGAAACUAUAAUCUCCUCCUUCACCUUAUCGGUCUCUUCCUUACAGCAAUUCAGUCAUACCAAUAACUGCUAUUUCUAUCAAUAUAUUCACCCUCAUAAUCUCCAACUGUAAUACAGCGCCUUCACAGCUUUCAGCACACAAUUAUCCUCGUUCUAAUCACUGGAAUUCUUCACACAGAACUGCCAUUCACAUUACAAUGUUUCACACAAAUACAGACUCAUUCUCUCUGCUAAACUACAAUCACAUUUCAGCAUUUAAUCUUUCUUCUUCUCAAAUAAUACCAAUCAUAUUUCCAUUCCAUAAUUCACUUCACAAUAUUCAGAAACUUUCAAUCCUCUUAUUCAAAGAAAAUAACAAACAAAAGAAAAGAGGUAGCACCAAGCUUACCCCGGCUCACAACUCUCAUAGUCUUUUCUUCCCCUCUCCCAUCCUCCUCAUACUACCCCGAGAUACCAACUCCCAGAUGAUAACUACUUUUCCUAACUAUUCAUCCAUUCUACUUGCUGAACCACCUUUUCAGCAGUUAUCUAUCCCUGUUUAUACUAUACACUAGGUAUCUACAUUCUGAAAAUAACUACUUAUUCUACA